GACGAACCGAGCGAACGUUGUUCGGCCUCACGGGGCUUAAAGGGCGCGUAGGCGGCCUCGUCAGUCUGUGGUGAAAGCCCCCGGCUCAACCGGGGAAUGGCCGCGGAAACGGCGAGGCUCGCAGGGGGUAGGGGCGAUCGGAACUGCCGGUGGAGCGGUGAAAUGCGUUGAUAUCGGCAGGAACGCCGGUGGCGAAAGCGGGUCGCUGGACCCCCCUGGACGCUGAGGCGCGAAAGCGAGGGGAGCAAACGGG
rnacentral:rRNA from 1 species